rnacentral:rRNA from 1 species
CCUACGGGAGGCAGCAGUGGGGAAUAUUGCACAAUGGGGGAAACCCUGAUGCAGCGACGCCGCGUGAGUGAAGAAGUAAUUCGUUAUGUAAAGCUCUAUCAGCUGGGAAGAAAAUGACGGUACCUGAGUAAGAAGCCCCGGCUAACUACGUGCCAGCAGCCGCGGUACUACGUAGGGGGCAAGCGUUAUCCGGAUUUACUGGGUGUAAAGGGAGCGUAGACGGCAGUGCAAGUCUGGAGUGAAAGGCGGGGGCUCAACCCCCGGACUGCUCUGGAAACUGUACGGCUGGAGUGCAGGAGAGGUAAGUGGAAUUCGUAGUGUAGCGGUGAAAUGCGUAGAUAUUAGGAGGAACACCAGUGGCGAAGGCGGCUUACUGGACUGUAACUGACGUUGAGGCUCGAAAGCGUGGGGAGCAAACAGGAUUAGAUACCCCAGUAGUC